UAGGGAAUCUUCCGCAAUGGACGCAAGUCUGACGGAGCAACGCCGCGUGAGUGAAGAAGGUUUUCGGAUCGUAAAACUCUGUUGUUAGAGAAGAACAAGUGCUAGAGUAACUGUUAGCGCCUUGACGGUAUCUAACCAGAAAGCCACGGCUAACUACGUGCCAGCAGCCGCGGUAAUACGUAGGUGGCAAGCGUUGUCCGGAUUUAUUGGGCGUAAAGCGAGCGCAGGCGGUUCCUUAAGUCUGAUGUGAAAGCCCCCGGCUCAACCGGGGAGGGUCAUUGGAAACUGGGGAACUUGAGUGCAGAAGAGGAGAGUGGAAUUCUAUGUGUAGCGGUGAAAUGCGUAGAUAUAUGGAGGAACACCAGUGGCGAAGGCGACUCUCUGGCCUGUAACUGACGCUGAGGCUCGAAAGCGUGGGUAGCAAACAGGAUUAGAUACCCUGGUAGUCCACGCCGUAAACGAUGAGUGCUAAGUGUUGGAGGGUUUCCGCCCUUCAGUGCUGCAGUUAACGCAUUAAGCACUCCGCCUGGGGAGUACGACCGCAAGGUU
rnacentral:rRNA from 1 species